rnacentral:tRNA from 1 species
AGGAGAAUGAGGAUCUAAAAGAAGCUGCUAACUAUCUUUUAAGGUGGUUAAAAUCCAUCUGUCUCCUA